rnacentral:tRNA from 1 species
GGCUCCUUAGCUCAACUGGAUAGAGCACCGACCUUCUAAGUCGGGGGUUGCAGGUUCGAUCCCUGCAGGAGUCGCCA